rnacentral:sRNA from 1 species
AUGUGAGGGCAAUCUAGCUUCAAUUUCUGUCAGCUUGCUGAUGGCUAAGGUUGAUUUAGCUUAUGUUACUGGCUAGGCAGACACCUCUUCUCUCACCGCU